UUAAAUACAGUAAGCCAAAAUAUUUAAUUUAAUUUACAAUAACAAGAGUGCCCCCGAAUAAACAAAAGUAAAGAGGACUGUGAACCUACGGUUUGGAAAAUGCAGAUCCCACUGUAGUCCUCGAUGAGAUCAGCUAUCUACAGUCUAUACUGAACCUGAAAUGGGUGGAAAGGAGGGUGGUGAGAUUAUAAAAUCCCAAUGAGUAAACAAACAUCAUCAUAAACAUCUAGAGUUGAGUACAUGGAGACAAUAAAGUAAAUCAUCAUAAACUGGGUUAUAGCAUUAGAACACAUUUUGUUCAAAACACGUAAAGAGGCUUAUGAAUCUCAUAAAAAUCUAGGCUUGUGCCAUAAAUCCAUUCUCGGGGACACCUUGGCCGAGGCAUCCUACCGAGACCGCCAAGGCUAUUAAAAUUCACAUUUCACAUAAAUCAUGUUUUUGUUUUGAAAACAUAGCCGUUCCUUGGCGUUGGCUGAGUUCCCCCUCACGUGGUGGUUUAGCGUGAAGUGAACCCUAAACUUUACCCCAGGAGAUACCCUACGCGCCUCUCCGUUCGAGGUAAGAAUAUAAUGGGGUUUACCGUGCCCCUCUAAAAGGCUGGUCCACAGAAACCCCCUACUGCAGUGAUUAAUUAAUAUAUAAUCCACCAUAUAAUAAAACUCAAUAACAUGAUAUGGCAAUUUUGUAAUUCGUAGUUUUUCAAGGUAACCAAACAAUUCGCAUUUCAAUACAAUUGCCAACUAGCCAAUCAUGCUCGAUUUAUCAUAAGCCAGUUAAUUUAAACAAUCAAAUUGCCACAAUUAACAGUCUCCGUGUACUCUAUUUUUCAAAAUCACUAUUAAUUUCAAAACAAUUUAUAAUUUAAUUUCAUUGAAACUCAUUUAUUCAUAAAACAUGAAAAUUUAUCUUUUUAAAUUCCUUUUUCCAUAGAAUUCAUGAAAGCAUCUAAAAACCACCCUAGAUAAUUAAAAUGACAGUAAGUUUACUCACAAUGUCUAGAAUGCAGACUUUCGAAGCACUCUGUCUACUGGUCCUCGGAUGCAAUUUCCUUGCCUUUAUCGGAGGACUCACCACCUUGACACAGUACAAAAUCGAGAGUUUCACCAAGUUGGUACUAAAUCAAAAUUAAACUAAUUUAGACUACCAAUGCAUGAUAUGGAAUGCAAAAAUGCACUGGUAACUAUCUAAACCCGGUAUUGGCCUAAUUCGUCUUAUCACCCGAUUAAAUUCCUAACGGGUCCGUUUAAACUCCAAUUUAAUUCUUUUCAGUUUCUAUACCUCAAUUGCACCCAAAUUAACUUAAUGUCCCUCAGUGUGGUGCAAAUUAUCAGUCCCAACAGCAAAUUACGAAAAUACCCCUAGUGGGUAAAAAUUCGUAUUUUUGCUCCGAAAAUUCCCAUUAUUUUUCUAGGCUCAUAAUUCAUCAUUCCUUAACCAAUUCUCCUAGAAUAAAAUCAAACUCAUCCUCACUCACUACAUGGUAAAUUCAGCCAUUAAUGGUUGGGGGAGAAAAUAAAUUCUUUUCUUGUUGUUUUGUUUCUAAAUAUGCUAAACUAACUAAAAACACUAACAUAAAUUAAAAUCAAAUAAAUCCAACAACUUUCUCUCUCCUAACCCAUUUUUUCAGAAUUGAAUUCAUCAUGAAAACAUGUAAUUUAAUCAUGGAAAAUAAAGAGAAAUGCUUGGGAAUAAGAAAACUCAAGCUUAAUAGAAAAAAUCUCACCUUUUUCACUUAAUUUCCUUGAAAAUUCACACUUUUUCUUUGAUUUUCUCUCUCUAGGGUUUUGUUUUUUUUUUCUCUCUCUUCUUGCUGGUUUGGCC
rnacentral:lncRNA from 1 species